rnacentral:rRNA from 1 species
GACGAACGCUGGCGGCGUGCUUAACACAUGCAAGUCGAACGGAAAGGCCCUGCUCUUGUGGGGUGAUCGAGUGGCGAACGGGUGAGUAUGAGGCAAGCAACCUGCUCUGGACUUUGGGAUAGCGUCAGGUAGCUGGGGCUAAUCCCGGAUAGGAGCCCCUGCUGGAUGGUGGGGGUUGGAAAGUUUCGGCGGGCGGGGAUGGACGCGCGGCUUAUCAGCUUGUUGGUGGGGUAGUGGCAUACCCAGGCAUCGACGGGUCGCCGGCAUGAGAGGGUGACCGGCCACGUGGCUACUGAGGUACGGCCCAGACGCCUACGGGAGACAGCAGGGGCGAAUAUUGCACAAUGGGCGGAAGCCUGAGGCAGAGACGCCGCGUGCGGGAUGACUGCCUUCGGGUUGUGAACCGCUGUCGGCUAUUACGAAGCGUGAGUGACGGUACUGGGUAAAGAAGCACCGGCUAACUACGUG